CCCGUGUAGAUCAGCUGGCAGAUCGCACUCGGUCGCGCCUCGGCGCACUGGAUGAGGCCGCGGGUUCAAGUCCCGCCCCGGGCU
rnacentral:tRNA from 1 species